UUUGCAAUCUCUGCAAAGUAUCUAUCUCGUGUCCAAAUGAUGRAUGGCUUGUGGGAUGGUCUAGUGUCGAUCAGCGGGAAAUUUGGCAGCAUACGAUGGAUUGCUUGCCCAUUGCCGAAAGUACAACCAUAGAUUCCGAUAAUAACACCACAGAUGAUUGUGCACCAGACGAAAUCAGACUGGAAGCAUUCAUUUCCCAAAUGGACGAGAGCGCAUAUAAUCUUAUCUUAGAAUGCAUUCUUGGAAACCGGCAACUCUAACGG